GAUUCAAGGAAAGGUUGAAGAGUUUUAGAGCUCUGGGAGGAAAGUCCCCCUCUCUUCACAUUUUUUUUUUUUUAAAUAGUUUUGUUAAUACUCUUGCAAAUAAAACAGCAGAAAGAAAAGAUGUGGUUUGUUUAGAGCAGUGCACAGAGGUAUUUAUUACAGCUGUAAAGUAUCAGCAAUGAUGCUGUUACCUUUUUGAACCAGCAAAAAUGUGGCUGAGUGGUGAUUUAGGCUUUGAUUCCUACCACCUGUUCUACACAGGUGAUCACAUCCAAACAGAGGGUGCACCUGUGAGCUGCCCGCGUGCCUUGGGAAGCCUUUGUUCCCUUGUUUGAGGAUGUGCGUGGGUGAGUUUAGGUCUGCUCUGCGUGGGAUUAUCUUUUUCUAAAGAAGCACAGUAGCCAUCGAUUUACAGUUAGUUAUUUUAAUUGUUUCACACUGCACAUCUAAAAGAGAAGCUGACCUCUGAUGAACAGCAGCCUCUGGUUCUCCGCAUUGAAUAAUGGAGGAUCAUUGCCUAUGGGAGCUUGUGACAUACCUGUCUGUGCCCAGUUACACUGCGUUUCAAACAAUAAGGAAAGUUAUGCAGCAGGGUCCUCACCAAGCUGGUUUCCAUGCAGAAGGAAAAUGGACAUCUAAAAUUACUCUGAUAACACAGCUGAGGAGUUCAUGAAAUGCUUUUUGUCAUGUACCAAUGAACCUCUUCAGAUGGGGAAGACAACACUAGGGGAUCUGCCCCUUAUUAAAGUUUUUUCCUAAAGAGAGAAGAGGAAGAGAAGAGGAAGAGAAGAGGAAGAGAAGAGGAAGAGAAGAGGAAGAGAAGAGGAAGAGAAGAGGAAGAGAAGAGGAAGAGAAGAGAAGAGAAGAGGAAGAGAAGAAGAAAAGCCUAUACCAGUGGGAUCCCAUGCAUGGGCAGGCUGUGAGCUACGGCCGUGUGGUCUGAACAGCAUCUGAGGGCUGGCGACAAAACCAAAAGCCUCUGGAAUUACUGUGGUUUGGAUGCACAGAGGACCAAGCUGGUUCUCUCCAGUCCACCCUUCUCACCCCACCAGUUCUUGUGCUUUACCCCCUGCAUCGAUGCCUUGAGCAGCUGACAGAGCAGUACGUUCAGAGGGGACAUUUGCCACAGUUCAGCAACUGAUAAGUCAAGUACAGUGGAAGACAAAACACGAGAUUUGCAUAUCUUUCCAGAAAGAACUACUCUUCUUAAGCAGCAGUGCCAAAAGUGCUGGCUGGAUAUUCCCAAGUGCUGCUGUCCCAUUACUUCUGCCCUCUGAAUACGUGUCUUUGAAGAAUGAUUCCAGAGUGCAGCUGUUUGGAGUAACCUGACGUAUGUAUUAAUGUAUUUUCAUCAGCUUGGGACAGACUUCACCAGGAGUUGGUACCAACUGCUGCUGUUAUGAACUCGCAAGGAAGUGACACCAACUCAGCUGUGAAGUCCAAGCUUGCUGACCUUGCCUAUGGUGAACUCUGCCUCCAAAGACAUCUGUGCAUACAGAGGGGCUGAGCAGGAAAAAGAAGGCAGAUUCUGAAGGUAAAUUUAAGUCAGUUCACAGAGUUUACCGUAGAAGCUCACUACAAAAUCACAGAAUGUAUUUAUGAUGUUUCUACAAAGUAGAAAUACACAGCCUGAUAUAUAACGAUAAUUUGGGAGGGAAGGAUUUACUCAGGAGCAGAAGUAAGCCUGAGGAAGUAACAAAGGAAAGCAAAAAGACCCCUCAAAACCAAAAACCUUCAUUCAGAGUGAUGAAUGACUUGAAAAUCUGACCGUUUUUUGAAAGUAUUUACUAAAUGGUAGCAAAAUUCUUUGAAAAGUCUCCCCUGACUUGUGCGUGCUACAUACUUUGUAAAUCUGUCCUGAGCCUCUUUGUCUAUUUCUUCGUUUUUCCAUUUCCUUUUCAUUAUAGUCAUGUUUUCCAUUUGCCGCAGCAAUCUCUUUGGGAUAUUUAACAUUUUGCCUAGAAACCUCUCUGAAUAACAAACCCACACUGAAGUUCCUGAGAGUAUUCACACUGAUUUCAAUGGGCAUUGGAGAGAAUAUGAAAAUCCAUGCCCACUGUCACAGACCCAAAGAUUGAGUCCAGCAAAGUACUGAAAUAUUUGCCUAAUAUUUAUAUAUGCACAUCCUAACUGAGGUAAGCAAGAUAACAAGACUGCUUAUGUUGAACUACAUGUGCUUAAGAUUUCUGAUAAACUGAGGUAACAAGCUGGGUUAUUAUUGAUUAUACUGAUAAAAUAUAAUUUAAUAGUCAUUUAUUAUGUUGAUAAAAAUAAUAAGUUAUUGAUAAACUACGUAAGUACACAAAAGUUGCCAUAAUGCAAAGUGGCCAGUGUCCUGCUAGUUGCAAAUUCUCCAAGGAGUAAGAAAAUAGUCAAGCACAGAAGGAUUUCUCAUUUCUCCCAGCUACAUUCUCCCAGAUUCAGCAAACAGCAGAUCAGACACAUGUGAAGCUGAAAGUUCCACCACUGUUUAGUACCUACCAGGGCAGCGUCUCGUCUCUGCGUCGCUCUCAUCUCCUCUGAGCAGUUCCAUAUGGCUCCCACAGCAUCGUGGGGAAAUGAGCUAUACAAAUGAAAAAAAUAGUGCCUGGCUGUCUGAUGAUUUCACACUGUUUGCUCUUGACUCUUCUUCUAGGGCAAAUACUGAAUGAUUGCUCCCCACUAGCCCUUUGUUAUUUCAUAUAUUUCUGACCUGUUCUCUCACAAACAUCCCUUUUCCAAAGUGUCCUAUUUAGUUUCUUCUGUGUUAAAGCAGUUCUGCUGCUCUGAUUGUUCCUGCUGUCCUCGUUCUCCAUCUAAUCUUGACUGCUUCUACAGCCUUUUAGCAGGUAUUCAGGAUGAGCAGCACCAUGAAAUUAGACGCAGUGUAAAAAUGCCCCGUUUUGUUCUCAGUUCCUAAUAUUCUGCUUGGCUUAUUUUUUCUUCCUCCUCUCUCUGCUGCUGCUUCAACAUUAACUGAUAGCUAAAGUGACUCUAGUUUAGAAGUUAUCACUCUAUGUGCCUAACUGCCGUCACAUUAUGCCACGUACAUUGCUUUAUACCUAAAGAAACUGAAUUUUACUUGUGGGUUUUAUUUCUCAGGUGCUCAGUAUACAGAGAUUUGCUGCAAUUCUUUGUGGUCCAUUUAAGUUCUUCCUGUUCUGAAUACAUUUCAUUAAAAACUUCUGUGCCUCAGUAAUACCCAGACAAUUUACCAAUAAGUUGAACAGCAUCAGCCUCUAGAAGAUUUGUGUGAAACUUUGCUUAUAGCCUCCCUGCAUUAUGAAAGCUGGACAUUUAAUCCUGCUUAUUUUUUCUGUCUACUGAUCAGUUAUUGGUUAUUCUAAUCAGUUAUGAAAUGGGUUACCCCUUGGCAACUCAGUUACUUUAACGUUACUUGAGCUAUAGCUCCAUUCACAAACAUCUGAAGAGCAGUGGUAAAUUACUUGCCAGAAAUGCUGCUGUUUGAUUUUGUUCUGUCAUUAGCCUGGUAAGAAAGGGCUGGUUUAAAACAUUAACCUUAAUAUUAUCUUUACAAAUAUGAUUAAGGCUGAGUAUUGAGAGAGGGUUUUGUGAGGCAGGCUGGAAGGAAGAGAGAAGCCUCAGCCUCACACAUGUUAUCAGGACAGCACAGCAUUGAGGUUUUUUGUUCUGGAAGAUAUUCAGGUGGACACACUGUGAAAAUAAACUUUAGAAGAAGCAAAUGUUCACAAAAUGUCUUCCAGUAGCUACUGGUUAAAUUAAUUUCCUGCCAAUAGGCUCAUUUAGGACCGAGUGGGAUCAAAAGUAAAAGCAGUGUGAAAUUUUACUAACAAGUGGUCAAAGUUUUCCCAGCAUAUGAUCCCAAAGACUUCCAGUGAAAUCAACAGCACCAGAGCUCCGCGUCCUGCAGUAGCACAGACACGUGUUGUGCGACCAACAGCACACAGACCGUGUUCGUGGCUGGUCCCAUCUGCUCGUCCUGUUUCGGCAGCACAGAUCACCUUGGAUGAAGUUCAGCCCCAUGCCACUCAAACAGCCCUUCAGGCCCCCCAGCUGGUAUCUCGCAGAAACUGGUCUGCCCUUCAGUCAACAGGUGACCAAAGAAAAGAGAUCUUCUUGUCCCUGAGCAUGCUUGGCAGCAAGGGAGUCUGAGCUGAACUAUUUCCUUGGAGCUGAAUUUCUCUCCUGCAUGAAAAAGGCCAUGAUCCCACUCCCUAAAGGCUUGUAGAACCUAGUUCCCACUGAAAACAUUCCAGAGUUAGGUACAUAAAUACCCUUCAAAUUAAUCCUGACUGUAAAAUAGGGCCUAACCUUUGACAUGGCUUUCUGCACAGUAGCGUGUGGCACCUCCUGGGUAAGACAGACAAGACAGCACAUUUUGCAGAGCGAGGAGCUGAAGUAUGGCAUUUCUGGGCUGCGUGAACUUGCAUCUGCAGCCACAUUUUUUGGUGCAUCUGCUGGGAAACAGUGCUGGAUGGGAGUGACUUAGAUCACUUCUUUGGGUACUGAAUUGUCACCACCAUUAUGGAUGUUUCCCUCACUGGACCUGAAAGCUGUUCCUAAAUGAGUGGAGAAAUCAUCACAUGGCUGCUACAGAAGACAACAGGUUUUCUCUCAUUUUUCCUCAUCCUUGACCCUUCCAUUCUGGCCUUUUAGCUAUAAAACAGAGUUCAGUCCCACCAAAUUCGAGAGUGACAACUGCACCCCAGACCUGGAAUUCAUACACUGCUUAUCAUACUUGUUCGUACAAUGUGUGCACUGGCUUCUAUUCAUGUCAAAUCUUUAAAGCAGAGGUCAGGCAGUGCUAUGCUACUCUUCGUCUGUGUGUUCCUAUUGGAGGGGGAUUUUGUGGGUAACUCACUGAGACAAGAGCCUGAAAGUGGAUUCCCCCUCCAGUGUUGAAUGGCAUCUCGGCUAGACGAGCCUGUCCAUGGGACAUGCGGGCUCAGAUAAACGAAAGAUUUUCGCAGUGCUAAUCCUUGUUACACAGACAAUCUGCAGCCCAUUUGCUAUUUCUUUUUGGCUUUAUUUUUAACAGGGCCUUAAAACAUAUUUUUCCUUAAAAUGACAACAUUCUUUUCUGCCCUCUUUGUUCCUGGGGCUCUGUGUGCUCAUAAACAGUUUAAGAGUUCCCUUCACACCUGCGGUGCACAUGUGUGCCUGUAGUGAAGACUCUCUUAUCUAUCCUUUGCUGAUAACUUAAGAGGACAGUGUUUAAGAAAAGGCACCAUCCUUGCAACUGUAAUGAACAAACCCAAAUCCCAAACCUACAGCAGUGACAGUAAGGCCAGUGUGCCUGCGGAAGGAGGACACAAGCAUCUAAUUAGAAACCUGCUUUCCCAAGAACUGAGGAGUGUCUCUGGUUUUGCUGUCCAGUAUUUAAACCCUCCAUAACCUGAGUUCAUUCAAGCGCACCGAUAACAGACAUUGCAUUUCAAAUUAACAUCUUCUGCCUAUCAGGCAUCUCCACGCAUGAAGGUCUUUCAACAUUUUACAAAUGUUUGUUGAUAAAGCCAUUGAAAAUCCCUGUCAAGCACAGGGCCAAAUAUGUACUUCCCAGUUUGGCAAACCAGGAAAGCAAGCAGGGAAAAGCUAGACACAAAACUCUGACUUUCAAGCUUAUUCUUCCAACCACCCGAUAGCCGCCCCCCUACAGUGCUCCAGACAGUUGUUUCUUCUACACUUCCAAUGAAAUCAAAUGAUAAAAAAAGCUGUUGCAUUUUCAAUAAUAAUAAUGAUAAUAUAAUGCAUUUUAAUUUAUUAUCUCUCUACCUCUGUUGUUGAGAUACUCAAACCAAGAUUUUCCUAUGCAUAUAGACAAAUGUAGGCUAAGAAAGACUGAGUUCCUCUGAAAUCCUUAGAAAAUUUUUCACUAUCCAGUACAUUUUAUGUAUGUGUGCAAUACCAGAACUUAGAAGCUCCUAUUUCCCACAUAAUAAAAGACGCAUCUUUUUUUCCCAUUCUAGUCACUUCUCUAGAGCAAUAAAGGGACAGAGUCUUCUUUAUCCUCCAUGCUGGCCCUGACCUUGGAGCAGAGAGGCUGAGUCACCUUUCUAGCUGGCAAACCCUGCUCAAAGACACAAGGAGACAGCCUGUACCAUCCCAUGGUUUUGCUCCAUCCUUCCUUGGCCUCCCUGGGCUCCGCGUUGCUUGUUUGGAAAAUUGUGCUAAAAAUGCUUGCCAAUUAGCACAAUCUGAGCUAUGCUAAAGCUAUGCUGCUACUCAACAAACAACUUGCUCAGAAAAUGCCCCCCCGGAGACUUGUUUACGCAGCAGGGAGUGGAUCAGCACGCAUUAGACUGCAGGGCUGAGACUUCUCGGCUGCCUCGUGCUGGUUUUACUCUGCUUGCGCUGACUUCGCUGGCCGGGGCCCGGCACUGAGGUCUCAGUGGAAGGAAAACCUUAAGCCAGCCUAACCACAGGACAGUUUGGGAUAAGCACGACUUUCCCAGCCUUGUUCAGCUUAAGCACUGGUACGAAGUCUGAGACACAUUUCCCUCCACAGAGAAAACCUUAAUCUUCUGGUUAGACAACACCACACACUACAAUUUGAUACUUAAUAAAUUGUCAUGAAGCUAUAAUACAAAUAUUCACUUGGUCACUUAUCCUUUUAGCAAUAAAAAACAACUGGGACUGAAGUUUGGUUGCAAUUUAUUGCAGCUGCUGUGGCAAGGACCCCCUCAGAAAGCAAUUUCCAGAGGAUUCUCCCUGUUAAAAAGCCAUUUCCUUGGCGAGGAGUGGGAUGUCUGGAAGAUAGCAAUGGGGAAAAACCAAGCACAGAAGUUUACAAGCAUUCCUGAAAAGCCUUUUUAAAACCCUGUAUUUAUUCAAACAAUUACAACAACAUUUUAUACAGCUAAGCAGUUUAGCCACUCCAGCAAAAUAUAAAGUACACUUUUCAGCCUAACUUUUGAUAGGCAGCUUUCCUCAUUAGCCCUAAGACAACACAUGAGGCAGCACCAACACCUGGCUCCCCCCUAGACAAAGUGUGGAGAGAGGAUGACAACCUCCUCAUUUCACAGUAUCACAGUAUGUUUGGGAUUGGAAGGUACCUCAAAACAUCAUCCAGUCCAAUCCCCCUGCUGGAGCAGGAACGCCUAGGUGAGGUCGCACAUGAACAUGUCCAGGUGGGUCUUGAAUGUCUCCAGCAAAGACAUCUCCGGCCCAUCCACAGCUCCCAGGAUUUUCGUUCUUCAGCUCUGACCCACACCCACUCUCCCCACCACAGGAGGUUGUUGAACUACUUGGUUAUGAAUAAUAUACAUAAUAUACAUUGCAAAUUUAGCUGUGUUGGGAGAAUCAGGAACUGAGAGGGCCUGGAAGAACAACUUCCAGUCUCUCUGGGCAACCCCAUAGUGUUCAGCUCACACAUGUGGUUGGUGAUGUGGGUCAGAUGGUAUCAUUAUUACUACCUGAGUGGAUGUUAAACUGAAAUUUGAGAAUGACAAGUCUGCUAAAACUUACAGGCUACACUAAAUAUGUGAAACAGGCUUCACAUUUACUUGGUGGCUCCCAUCAUCCCAGGGAGUUGAGAUAAUCCUCUCGCAAAGAGAAGACUAAUGAUGCCAGUUUGUUUAUCUCUGUGAACUUUCACGAAUUUAUCAUCAGAUAACACACCAGCCAUGUCACCUUCUCUAGGCUGCCAAGUGGUCACCCUGUUCCCUGAUGCAAACACAGGAUAGUAGCCAGCCUUUUCUUCCCUUCUGCUUCUUCCAUUAUUAUUUCUUCAUGUUACACACCAUAUGGUCUCUCUCUAUGUAAAAACUCUAUGUUAACUAUUUAAUCACAAUUUGUAACUCCUUGGUAAGGAAUGCAACUGUCUCAUCUACCUCUAAAAGAGGAAACGGCCCUUUGACACCUCUCUCCUUCCCUCCUACCUGAAGAAUGACAGGGAGAUUGUGUUUGAAAAAGAAAGUGUCUACCCAGUACUCCUGCCAAAGAGGAGGAGGAGGAGACUCACAGCUCAGUCUCUAUGUCCUGGACAACCUAAUGCCCCACAAGACAGAGAGAAACACAAAUUUUUCUUUUUUGAGGUAGAAAACGGUAUACUGAGUCUCUCAGGAAAUUCAUGAUGUACUGGGGCACAGGCUCUGCUCUCUUGUUUUCAAGCCAAAAGAGAAGGCACAAAGAAAUAUGGCAAGUUCUGCAGGUCAGGCCAACAGAAGCUUCAAUUGGCCAUUUCUCACUCAGCUGCUACUGAAGACAUGCUGCAAAGACAAACCGUCUGCCAAGGCCGAGGCUCCCUAACACCAUCACUUGCUUGCAGCUCUAUAUCAUAUUGGACAGAGCUUUUUCUCCUUUUAAACCCAUGCUUUAUAAACACUCACCCUGAACAGCGACCCUAUAAGGCAAAGUACCACUGUGUUACACUCCACGUGAACACACCCAGGGUAAGAAAAUCACAAAAUCCCUCAGGUACACCAGUAAAUCCAGCCAUAAAAGCAGGUGGAGCCUUCCUUAGAAUUUGCAGCAUUGGGAAGCCCAAAAAUCUAUUUUUAGUAGUGGCUUCAGAAAACAAUCUAAGUUAUUUGAGAUGGGACCCAAGGCCCAGUUAAACACAGGCUUCUUUUGAGUUGACAUGGAUAAUUAGCACUGGCCAUCCAAAGUACCAUUGCUGUACUUCAUGAAACACUAGAGUUUUGCUGUAAAAAUACUAAAAGGAGGGGAUAAAGUCCCAUGAAAGCAAAAAUGUGAAAUGGAAGAUGGCAGCACAUCCAUCAGUACCUUUUUUUUUGGCACAGCCUAAAUCUAUCAAGACACUUCUGAAAAUGAAUUGAACUAACUUAACCCCAACAAAAUUAGUUAGGCUUAGCAUUUUGUCUUUCUGUUAGUGGUUUUACAUACGGUUAUCUCCCCUGCCUUCCAGAAACCUUGUUUUACAGCAAAAGGUCCACCGUGAGGAUCUUUUCAGACUGUCAAGAAGAGGUGCACUAUUUUCUGUAGGAAUACAUAGCAAAAUAAUAAAUUCUGGAAACUACCCUGCUCUAUACAAAAGGAAAAAUAAAGGAGCUUUUCCUCAAUCAGAUGCAUUACUUUUGCUGAUGCCGUUCUAUAGUUAAGAAUGAGAUUCCAAGAAGAAAAGUUUCCUGCUGCAACAUAAACAUAUUCUGUUUGCAAUUCCUUUUAAGAGAUCUCUACUUCAGGCAUUUCAGACGUGCGAGAAGAGAUCACACUGACAGCAAGUCACUGCUUCGCUCAACGCACGCUGCCAAAACACGUAGAUCUGAACCUUGUCCUCUCUUUCACUGGACCGAUAAAUACGCGUUUAAAAGCAUGCACAGCCUGGUUCACACUUACAUGAUGCACAGAGAAUGAGGCAGAGGGCUGUCAGAGUGAAGCAACACCUCAUUCCCGAGCAUGUGCAGAACAGUCCACCUUCGCUUGCUGCUAAAAAUGCUAAACCCCUGCCAUUUGCGCUACAUAUGUGCAACUUGCAUGUCUCCAAGAUUCAUUACUGAGCAUAGGAAAAUUCAGUCGUAUCAAAGUUUAGCUUUAAGAAAGUCCCAAGGGGCUGAACCGUGUGAUUGUGUGCUUCGAUGGGGAAAAAAACAACUCGUUUUUUCCUUUUUUUGUAGCAUUGCCCCAGUCUUUCCUUUAGUAAGAAGAAAAUAGCUGCUAAAUGAGUGAACCCCACAUUCCUACUGUGGACUUAUAGCCAUUCAUUUUCAUAACUCAAGUUUUGUGUGAACACAAAUAUAUAAAUCAGGGAUGGAUUUAGGGUUGAUCCUAAGAAAACUGUAACUAAGAUGAACAAAAAUCACUAUUUUAUUUGAAAAUUGCUGUGCUUUGGUCAUUUAGUAUGACCACAUCUGUCCUUCUGUGCCUCUAACAAUCUUUUCUGUAGCUCAUUCAAGAGCAAAGGAUUCUACAAUGAGCCUGGAAGUAUAAUGAAUUUACCUAUUUUCACACUUCAUUGCAAUUUGAAAAUUGCUUUGUGUUCAUGAAAUUUUCCAUUAAAAUAAAUCUGCCCUUCAAUGAAAAAGGCAAAAAGUAUCCUGAAGAAAAGUGACAGUUUGGGGACACAAAUGGGCAUUGCACGUCCUAGACUUGAUCAAAAAAGAAGAGAUAAACGUCCAUGUUCUCUAAUGAAAAUAAAGACUUUUGCAGGCAGAAAAAGUAACAACAACAACAAAGUAACAAAACAAACCUCCUGCUCUUCUUGGCUUUGGUAUGGGCCUUUCACAUCCAUGGAUAUCAAGAUCACAGAAGCUAGUUUCGACUUAAAGGUACCAGAAACACAGCCUAGAACAUAGCACUGAAAGACAAGGAUUUCCAGAGAAUUAUCCUCAGCUCUCUAAAAAAUAAUAUCUAAAUAGACUUGGAUUUUUAUCGGUGCAGGAAAAAAGAGGCGGCUUCAUGGGCUCCAAGUCUGGCCCAUGGUGCCCUGACCCUUGCCAACCAUGACCAGUGUGUUGGCAGGAAUUCCCCAAGCCAAGUAGCAAGGGAGGGUCUCUGCUUUGAAGGUGUUCUCCAAAUUAACUCUUUUACAUAUAUAUAAAGCUUGUUUGGAUAUACUUUUAAAAAAUCCUCAGAUACACAGAACCUGAAGAGGAAAGCAAAGCUUGAAACAAACAGAAGCAGGAGCUUCACGGGACUACUUUUCAGAGUUAAAUUCCUCCUGCACAACAUUUGCAGGGUGAGGCAUUUGUAAGUACAACUGUAAAAGGACCAAAGGCUCGACUGACAAACCAUGAGAUAUGAAGUGCUUGCAAGAUACAUCCGGUGUUGAGAUAAUUAAAAUCAAAAUUAAGCUUGUGCUAUAUUUGCAUCUGCAAAGCAUCAGUUAAUCAAACAUAAUGAGUUAAUCAGACUCCUUUUUUUUCUGAGGGCAAAAUGUAAUCAUCCUUCAUCAUCUUUUGUCUUGUCCUUAGAUUCUGACAGACUUUCCAGACUCUUCCAAAGUAUGUGCACACCCAAUAGCAAAUCAGAGUCCUGGAAGUUUUCUAGGCAUUGUUGCAACAUUAAUAGGAAAUUGUUGUAGUAAAGCCACUUCAUAGGAGCUUUUGCUCUAUAUUAAGAAGUCAAAUAAUAAUUACAAAUUGAAGAGGACACCGAGCACAACCCAGGAAGGAGAUAAUACUCUGCAUCCCAUUUUUGCAAUCGAGAGACAAGCCACUUGGCUAUUUUGCAAGACUGCUGCCAGUAAACCAGUGUGUCUCCCAGAUUCCUUACAGCAAGAGCAAAGAAUACAUUCUCUGGUAACCUCUGAAGAUUUAGCAAUUCUGUACUUACUAUUUAUUUCAUUAAAAAAAAAAAAAAAAGAAGGCAGCUGUUGCUGGAUGUAAUUUCUAGGUAUUGUAAUUAAUUUAUUUUCAAUCACAUGGAAAAAUAAUUUACGCUGUUUUGGUUGCUAGCUAUUUGAGAUAUUGUGGUUACAUUUUUGGUGUCUUUUGUACAUUUUAUUGUAACAUUCUCAGGGCAUUGCAGUCAAUUACUACAGCUCAUGCUGUUUUACUUCUACAAAGCAUCAU